rnacentral:piRNA from 1 species
GAACCGAACCAGCCCAGACAGCGGAGCAC